rnacentral:snRNA from 1 species
AUACUUUUCUCGGCCUUUUGGCUAAGAUCAAGUGUAGUAUCUGUUCUUAUCAGUUUAAUAUCUGAUAUGAGGGUCAUCGACCCUCACGAUAUUAAUCUAAUUUCUUUCGCGGGUGUGGGUCCAAAAGGAUAGCUUGCUGUCUCGGAUCCGCCAGUGUCGCCUAGGUAUUGCACUACUUCCAAGGCCGGCGCAGCCCAU